UUGGUAGCGCGUUCGCUUAGCAUGCGAAAGGUCUUGGGUUCAACUCCCAACUCGUCCA
rnacentral:tRNA from 1 species